AAUUUUGGACAAGGGGGGAAACCCUGACCCAGCAAUGCCGCGCGCAGUAUGAAGGCCAACGGGUUCUAAAGUACUUUUGUUCGGAACGAAAAUUCUUGGGCUAAUACCCUGGGAUCAUGACGGUACCGCAAGAAUAAGCACCGGCUAACUACGUGCCAGCAGCCGGGGUAAUACGUAGGGUGCAAGCGUUAAUCGGAAUUACUGGGCGUAAAGCGUGCGCAGGCGGUUUUGUACGACAGUGGUGAAAUCCCCGGGCUCAACCUGGGAACUGCCAUUGUGACUGCAAGGCUGGAGUGCGGCAGAGGGGGAUGGAAUUCCGCGUGUAGCAGUGAAAUGCGUAGAUAUGCGGAGGAACACCGAUGGCGAAGGCAAUCCCCUGGGCCUGCACUGACGCUCAUGCACGAAAGCGUGGGGAGCAAACAGG
rnacentral:rRNA from 1 species